GAGCGGCGUACGGGUGCGGAACACGUGUGCAACCUGCCUUUAUCAGGGGGAUAGCCUUUCGAAAGGAAGAUUAAUACCCCAUAAUAUAUUGAAUGGCAUCAUUUGAUAUUGAAAACUCCGGUGGAUAGAGAUGGGCACGCGCAAGAUUAGAUAGUUGGUGAGGUAACGGCUCACCAAGUCAGUGAUCUUUAGGGGGCCUGAGAGGGUGAUCCCCCACACUGGUACUGAGACACGGACCAGACUCCUACGGGAGGCAGCAGUGAGGAAUAUUGGACAAUGGGUGAGAGCCUGAUCCAGCCAUCCCGCGUGAAGGACGACGGUUCUAUGGAUUGUAAACUUCUUUUAUACUGGGAUAAACCUACCCUCGUGAGGGUAGCUGAAGGUACAGUAUGAAUAAGCACCGGCUAACUCCGUGCCAGCAGCCGCGGUAAUACGGAGGGUGCAAGCGUUAUCCGGAUUUAUUGGGUUUAAAGGGUCCGUAGGCGGAUCUGUAAGUCAGUGGUGAAAUCUCAUAGCUUAACUAUGAAACUGCCAUUGAUACUGCAGGUCUUGAGUAAAGUAGAAGUGGCUGGAAUAAGUAGUGUAGCGGUGAAAUGCAUAGAUAUUACUUAGAACACCAAUUGCGAAGGCAGGUCACUAUGUUUUAACUGACGCUGAUGGACGAAAGCGUGGGGAGCGAACAGGAUUAGAUACCCUGGUAGUCCACGCCGUAAACGAUGCUAACUCGUUUUUGGGUUUUCGGAUUCAGAGACUAAGCGAAAGUGAUAAGUUAGCCACCUGGGGAGUACGUUCGCAAGAAUGAAACUCAAAGGAAUUGACGGGGGCCCGCACAAGCGGUGGAUUAUGUGGUUUAAUUCGAUGAUACGCGAGGAACCUUACCAAGGCUUAAAUGGGAAUUGACAGGUUUAGAAAUAGACUUUUCUUCGGACAAUUUUCAAGGUGCUGCAUGGUUGUCGUCAGCUCGUGCCGUGAGGUGUUAGGUUAAGUCCUGCAACGAGCGCAACCCCUGUCACUAGUUGCCAUCAUUCAGUUGGGGACUCUAGUGAGACUGCCUACGCAAGUAGAGAGGAAGGUGGGGAUGACGUCAAAUCAUCACGGCCCUUACGCCUUGGGCCACACACGUAAUACAAUGGCCAGUACAGAGGGCAGCUACCAGGCGACUGGA
rnacentral:rRNA from 1 species